rnacentral:rRNA from 1 species
UGAGUAACCUGCCCUUGACCCUGGAAUAACAGCUGGAAACAGCUGCUAAUACCGGAUACGACCUCCGAUGGCAUCAUCUGGAGGUGGAAAGCUCCGACGGUCAAGGAUGGGCUCGCGGCCUAUCAGCUUUGUUGGUGAGGUAACGGCUCACCAAGGCUUCGACGGGUAGCCGGCCUGGAGAGGGCGACCGGCCACACGUGGGACUGAGAUACCGGCCCAGACUCCGUACGGGAGCAG